rnacentral:rRNA from 1 species
AUUGAACGCUGGCGGCAUGCGUUACACAUGCAAGUCGAACGGCAGCACGGGUGCUUGCACCUGGUGGCGAGUGGCGAACGGGUGAGUAAUACAUCGGAACAUGUCCUGUAGUGGGGGAUAGCCCGGCGAAAGCCGGAUUAAUACCGCAUACGAUCUACGGAUGAAAGCGGGGGACCUUCGGGCCUCGCGCUAUAGGGUUGGCCGAUGGCUGAUUAGCUAGUUGGUGGGGUAAAGGCCUACCAAGGCGACGAUCAGUAGCUGGUCUGAGAGGACGACCAGCCACACUGGGACUGAGACACGGCCCAGACUCCUACGGGAGGCAGCAGUGGGGAAUUUUGGACAAUGGGCGAAAGCCUGAUCCAGCAAUGCCGCGUGUGUGAAGAAGGCCUUCGGGUUGUAAAGCACUUUUGUCCGGAAAGAAAUCCUUGGCCCUAAUACGGUCGGGGGAUGACGGUACCGGAAGAAUAAGCACCGGCUAACUACGUG